rnacentral:rRNA from 1 species
AUUGAACGCUGGCGGCAGGCCUAACACAUGCAAGUCGAGCGAGCGGCGGACGAGUGAGUAAUGUAUGGGGACUGCCCGAUAGAGGGGGAUAACUACUGGAAACGGUAGCUAAUACCGCAUACUAUCGGAUAACCCAUAUGGGAUUAGCUAGUAGGUGAGGUAAUGGCUCACCUAGGCGACGAUCCCUAGCUGGUCUGAGAGGAUGAUCAGCCACCCUGGGACUGAGACAGGGCCCAGAUCCCUACGGUGGCAGCAGUGGGGAAUAUUGCACAAUGGGCGCAAGCCUGAUGAAGCCAGGCAGCGUGUAUGAAGAAGGCCCUAGGGUUGUAAAGUACUUUCAGUCGGGAGGCGUUACCGACAGAAGAAGCACCGGCUAACUCCGUGCCAGCAGCCGCGGUAAUUC